UACGAGUGCCCCGAGCGUUAUCCGGAAUCAUUGGGCGUAAAGGGUGUGUAGGUGGUCUAGUUAGUCUUCUGUCAAAUUCUUCGGCUUAACCGGGGGUCCGCAGAGGAAACGGCUAGACUAGAGGAUACGAGAGGUGUACGGAACUCAUAGUGUAGGGGUGAAAUCCGUUGAUAUUAUGGGGAACACCAAAUGCGAAGGCAGUACACUGGCGUACUCCUGACACUGAAACACGAAAGCGUGGGUAGCGAAUGGG
rnacentral:rRNA from 1 species